GACUAGACCUUCCUAGCUUGUCCAGGCUGGCGGGAGGAAAGAGGCAGCACCAUGAGCCACGUAGUGACCAUCGAGAAGCCCCCGACUGGCCCUCAAAUAUCUCAGCAACGGGGUUGCGAGAAGUCGAGGGCCAGGGGCUACUCCUCCAAUCGAACGUACGAUUUCCUUUAUGAUCCAUUGUUUAUUGUGUCAAGUGAGAAAGACCACAUGCGGGCAAAUAUUCAAACCACCCUGAUUGGAAGCCGACUGAAAAAAGUUCCCAGAUUUAGAACCAUGUUCAGUAACCUAAUCCAUUAUCCAAGAUAUUCCCAGUAUUGGAGCAAGUCCGAUCCUGUCCCAGCCUUCAUCAGUCGAGAAUGGAGGGGACUUGAGCAGCACAAAGAAGUCCUCUGGCAGCUUGCCACAAUGGGCACUUCUUUUCAGAUACCUAAAGAAAUUAAUGAAGAUCCUGAUGUUACUGGAAAGAAUCGCUAUAAGUACUUUGACAGGCCCUUCCUUCCCUUUUAUCAACAUAUGCCACUCAAUGUUGUUUUUGCAGCAACCAAGACAGAACCAUAUAUUUUUCCUCCUGUUCCUUCUAAGUACCCAACCAUCCCUUCGAAAUCUACUGUGGGCACUCAGACUGUUUAUAGGGAUACUGAUGUUCAAACAGAUCCAUACUCUCCAGAAUAUGUAGUAUGCCAGGACACUAUCCCUGAACUCUUGACCCUGGCUACUCUGACUUGGGGUCGAGGUCUCCCAGCAGGACAGGCUGAGGUGGAAAUGAUAGAACGAGCCCGGGAGAAGCGUGCUUGGGAAGCCACUCUUCCCCCUCUGGAUGACAUCCGCCAGUUUGAGAAGAGGAGGAGGAUGAUGAAUGCAAUGGAGAGGAAGGAGUGGGCCUUUAGAGAGCAGGAGAUUGAAAAACUGCAGGACAUUCGCCUGGAAAUUUUAAAAGAGCUGCUGAAGAAGCGUGAAGAGCGUCAAAAUGAAUUGGACAUGAAGCACUUGAAUGCCAAGUGGUGUAAACUGCAGGAAGCAAAAGAAGCCAAACUGGCACAAAUCCAGCACACACAUAUAUCAAAAAUCAGAAAGAUCAAAGCAAAGGGAAAGAACAUUGAAGGGAAACUGCAGAGAAGAGAUAUCAUCAAGGAUUAUUCUGAUUAUGCAUCGACAGUCUAUGGACCUCUAUCACGCCUUGGCCGUUUCCCAGACAACAACUCAGAGGACUUUGUAGUAAAAAACUACUAUCUCAACACCUAUGAAGGACUAGUUGAACUUGAGUCAAGUCUCCCAGAUUUUGUGACACAACCAAGAAUCAGAACUCCUAAACCAAAAAUCGUUACCACUAAAGCUGGUUUUCUAAAGAGGGCAGCAAGACUGGACUAUGAGUUGGCAGAGGUUCAUAAGGCACUGUUGGAAAAGAAGAAUAAAGCUCUGGAAGCAAAGAAACCUCUGCGCCUCCUUCAAAGAAACCCCAUACCUGAGCCUCGGCUUCCAACUCCAACCUUGGAAAUGAGUUCCAAUGAAGAAGAAGACGUAGAAAUGGCUGUGAUCUACCUUCAAAGCUUACUCCGGGGCAGAGUCGUUCAGAACAUGAUGUUUGAAGGGAAAGAAAAGCGACUCGAGUUGAUCCAGGAGCUGCGCACCAGCCAUGCACUCCAAGAGGAUGAAAAGCUAGUGAAGAAAGCCGAGAAGCAAGUGACCCUGGCCUUACAACGGCAGAGGAACCUGCAUGAGCACAAGGUGUCGCUUGUUGAAAACCAUUUGGCUGGGCUGGAAGGAAGGGCGCUGGUUGACAUGCUUGACUUCCUGUCCAAAGAGCUGGUGAGACUACAGGAAGAGAGGAGGAUCCAUGCCUUUGCCAUGCUAGCAGAGCGUCAGCGGCGGAUGCGAGAGGCCGAAGAGAGUGGUCGUCGCCAGGUGGAACAAAGGCGCCUGCGUGAGGAGGACCAGAUAUUUAAGGAGGUGAUUAAAGUUCAUCAAAGUACUGUAACUUCGUAUCUGGAAGACAUAAUACUGAAUACUGAAGCGAAUACUGCAGAAGAACAGGCCAGAUCAGAAAUUGAGAAGAUGGCUGAGGAAAUCAAUGACAUUGCUUAUGAAAUGGAAAACCGUCGAACAUAUCUUCAGUCAGAGGAGAUUGUUGCUGAGUUGGUUUAUAGUUUUCUGAUUCCAGAGGUACAAAAAGACUUUGUCAAAGAAAAAGUGAGGAAUGCACAGCGGAAGCAUAUUCUUGCAGCCCAUCAGAUCAUCCAUCAGCACACAGAAGCCAUGGUCCAGCGGAAAUUUGUUGAGCAACCAAAAGAUAAGGUCUCAAAUGCUGACAAGUUACGUGAGGAAGGAACUCAAAAUGAGAACAGGAGCUAAGCAUCCUGCAGAACCAGCACCACAUGGAUGACACCAAGAUCUUCCGCCAGCUCCUGCAGUAGCUAAGCCUCCAAGGUCACAGCUGCAGUUAUACAACGAAAGUCCUACAUUGUAAUUUUAAAAAAUCUUUAAAGGAAGCCAUAAAAUCAUCUAAAGAAUUUCAGCAUCUGUGCUUCUCCAAGGUACACAGUUCUCGUGGGUUUGUCCAUGUGUGAUUCUUGAGGAAAAAUAUUUAUUUUCCUUAAACUCCCCAAAAUUUAAAAUAAUCCUAACAAUAAUCAAAUGGAAGAGCCUUGUUCUCUUUGAUGGCUUUCUACAUGUUCUACUUCAAGAGAAAAUUUUCAUUUGUCUCGUUUUAACAUUUUACAAUGAUAAUAUCCUGAUUCGCUGAAUCAAACAAAAAGAAAUGUUGCUGAAUUUUCCUCAAGUAGUUUCGGCUUGCCAUUCACAGGACAAUUGUCUUUAUUUGUGGUUAAUUUCGACUGUGCGUCACCCCCUCAUCCAGCACUUCUCCCAGUUAUAUAUCCAACAGAAAUUUGAGACUACGUGCACCAGCAGGCAUGACGACAAUGUUCACAGAGGCAGUGUUCAUCAUGGUCCCCGAGCUGUGAGGCCCGAGUGUCCAUGCCAUUGGACUGGAAAGGUGAAUGUCGACGAAUUCAUACAACGGCACAGCAGCCCACCGUGCAGCCCCAGAUCUAACGCGCAUGUUCCCACAACGCCCGCCCGUCAGGAGGGCGCUGCGGAAGGCAGUCUUCCCCCUUCACGAGCAUCAGAGUCGCAGGGCUCCCUCUCCGUUCCAACACUGGCAAAUAGGAAAAACAAAGCGCCAGCAACAAAAUCAACAGGAGGCCGUGUAGACUUUACAAAGGAAAAUGUAGAAAAUAGGAUAAAAGUCUACUUAACAAAUAUAUUACUGUAAGAAGCAAGAAAAGUUUAGAAACAUUUUUCUUGGUGUUUUCAAUAGGUGGCUUAAAGAAGCGACCUCUUUGGCGAGUGAAGCAGGGAAUAAUAAAAACAGACAAGGGCAAAACAGACAGAUGGCAGCAGAAAAGGAAAGAGAUGGGUAAGAAAAAACAUGCAAAAAGACUAAAAUCCAAUGACAAAGUUUAUAUGUUCAUUUGAAUGCAGUUAAAAGAACAGAAGUAUCACAGCAGAGAAUAAAAUGGGUAAUAUUGGUGACAAAUUUGUUAAAUCAUCCAAUAUGGAAUAGGAAGGAAAGGGCCAAGAGAUAAAAAAUGACAAAAAGGUUAGCCCCAGAUGGCUAACCCCACAUGGAGUAGAAAUUCUUAAAGAAGAAGAAACCAGAACAAAUAAAAUAGCAAUAAGAAAAGUUGAAUAAAAAAUUUAUGAACUGAAAUAAAUG